rnacentral:lncRNA from 1 species
AAGAGUCCUUGCUGUGAUUCAGGUGACAGUCAGUGACGGCCUAGACCAUGAUGGGAGACAGACCACAGGAAAGGUUCCAGCUAUACUUAGAAGGCAGAACACACACAACUUGGUGAUUGAUUGGCCAGGAGACUGAAGGAGAAGGAGAGGCUGAGAUGAUGCCUGGGGUAUGGCCCAGAGUGGUGGAGAAUUUACUGAGACCAGCACACAAGAGAAAAAGAUUAUGGGGACUGGGCACGAGAACAGUUUUGGAGAGAUUGGACUUACGAGUUUACAGGGCACAGCCAGGUGGAGAUGCUUCAGGAAGAGUCUGCAGCAAGUGUGCGAGUUUCUGCGCUUUUCCUCUACCCCUCAGCCCAGGGAGAAGAGAAUAAACCAUUAGGUUAUCAGCUGAGCAGUGCCCCGAGCCUAAUGCUUUUUCCCAGUGGAAGCUCCAGGCUUCAAGCUAUCUCUCUAGUGCCUAAGGCCAACAUGGAACAAUAGAAAUUCAAUGUACCAGUUGGCUGAUGUAAGUGACUAAAGCUGUUUGAGGACUAAAGCUUAUAUGGAAUUAUAUUCAAUACCAUUUGAAGAAAUGAGAAACCGUUGAAACUCCUUCUUAAGAGUCUCCAGGAGAUAAUCAUUAUGUAAGUCUUACCCUCCAAAUCCAAGCAAGAGGUGGUAUUAUUUCUACCAUGAGGAGACACGCAGAGAAGACAAUUGGGUCCUGGAUCUCCAUCUUUCCAUGCCCCAUCCCACCACUCUAGAUCUAGUAAGUAAAAUUAGACUGAUAUAGUAUGUGUGUUGGGGGCACGGGAGAUAGGUGUCAUUUAAUUUUCAUGACUAAAACACAGAAAUUUUGAACUUGAGAGCAGAAUAAUGUUCUCUAAAAUAAACAGAACAGGAAUGCUGAAUGGUGAACAGCCUCAUGGAACUCCAGGAAUAGCAGGGACAGGCUGUUCUGUGCUGAUGGUUCUUGAACCAGUGUUUUUAACACCCAGCGACGUUAACUGCAUCUUAGUCAAGGCUGAGGUACUCUCAGUAGCCCUUAAAGCAUUACCUCCCCAAG